rnacentral:pre_miRNA from 1 species
UACAGCGAGUGGUUCUGGAAGGCGGUGGAGGUGACGGCGGCGGCCGGCGCCGUGGCGGGGGGCUGCGAGUGGGGGGCGACGAGCUGCGCUUCCACAGGCUUUCUUGAACGGUUGCGGCCGC